rnacentral:rRNA from 1 species
GGGUGAGUAACACGUGGGGAACCUGCCCCAUAGUCUGGGAUACCACUUGGAAACAGGUGCUAAUACCGGAUAAGAAAGCAGAUCGCAUGAUCAGCUUUUAAAAGGCGGCGUAAGCUGUCGCUAUGGGAUGGCCCCGCGGUGCAUUAGCUAGUUGGUAAGGUAAAGGCUUACCAAGGCGAUGAUGCAUAGCCGAGUUGAGAGACUGAUUGGCCACAUUGGGACUGAGACACGGCCCAAACUCCUACGGGAGGCAGCAGUAGGGAAUCUUCCACAAUGGACGCAAGUCUGAUGGAGCAACGCCGCGUGAGUGAAGAAGGUUUUCGGAUCGUAAAGCUCUGUUGUUGGUGAAGAAGGAUAGAGGUAGUAACUGGCCUUUAUUUGACGGUAAUCAACCAGAAAGUCACGGCUAACUACGUGCCAGCAGCCGCGGUAAUACGUAGGUGGCAAGCGUUGUCCGGAUUUAUUGGGCGUAAAGCGAGCGCAGGCGGAAGAAUAAGUCUGAUGUGAAAGCCCUCGGCUUAACCGAGGAACUGCAUCGGAAACUGUUUUUCUUGAGUGCAGAAGAGGAGAGUGGAACUCCAUGUGUAGCGGUGGAAUGCGUAGAUAUAUGGAAGAACACCAGUGGCGAAGGCGGCUCUCUGGUCUGCAACUGACGCUGAGGCUCGAAAGCAUGGGUAGCGAACAGGAUUAGAUACCCUGGUAGUCCAUGCCGUAAACGAUGAGUGCUAAGUGUUGGGAGGUUUCCGCCUC